rnacentral:rRNA from 1 species
UACGUAGGGUGCGAGCGUUAAUCGGAAUUACUGGGCGUAAAGCGUGCGCAGGCGGUUUUGUAAGCCAGAUGUGAAAUCCCCGGGCUUAACCUGGGAAUGGCAUUUGGGACUGCAAGGCUUGAGUGCGGCAGAGGAGACUGGUAUUCCUGGUGUAGCAGUGAAAUGCGUAGAUAUCAGGAGGAACACCGAUGGCGAAGGCAGGUCUCUGGGCUGACACUGACGCUCAUGCACGAAAGCGUGGGGAGCAAACAGG